rnacentral:rRNA from 1 species
CCUACGGGAGGCAGCAGUGGGGAAUUUUGCACAAUGGGGGAAACCCUGAUGCAGCGACGCCGCGUGAGUGAAGAAGUAUUUCGGUAUGUAAAGCUCUAUCAGCAGGGAAGAAAAUGACGGUAACUGACUAAGAAGCUCCGGCUAACUACGUGCCAGCAGCCGCGGUCAUACGUAGGGGGCAAGCGUUAUCCGGAUUUACUGGGUGUAAAGGGAGCGUAGACGGCUGCGCAAGUCUGAAGGGAAAUGCCGGGGCUUAACCCCGGAACGGCUUUGGAAACUGUGCAGCUAGAGUGCAGGAGAGGUAAGUGGAAUUCCUAGUGUAGCGGUGAAAUGCGUAGAUAUUAGGAGGAACACCAGUGGCGAAGGCGGCUUACUGGACUGUAACUGACGUUGAGGCUCGAAAGCGUGGGGAGCAAACAGGAUUAGAUACCCCAGUAGUC